rnacentral:misc_RNA from 1 species
AUUCAGUAGCUUGCUACUGAUCGGGAGGCGCUGUAAGCCCGCAUAGUUUAAUCACUGAUGAGCGGCAGGCCCUCUGUCUGUACCCUUGUCUUUUGCGCACUCAUGUUUCCUCGGCGGGCUUGCCCGCCGAUUGGACAACCCUAUAACCUUUUUAAUUUUCAAUCAGCGUCUGAAAAAAUUUAAUAAUUACAACUUUCAACAACGGAUCUCUUGGUUCU